AUCGAACGCUGGCGGCAUGCCUUACACAUGCAAGUCGAACGGUAACAGGUCUUCGGAUGCUGACGAGUGGCGAACGGGUGAGUAAUACAUCGGAACGUGCCCGAGAGUGGGGGAUAACGAGGCGAAAGCUUUGCUAAUACCGCAUACGAUCUCAGGAUGAAAGCAGGGGACCGCAAGGCCUUGCGCUCACGGAGCGGCCGAUGGCAGAUUAGGUAGUUGGUGGGAUAAAAGCUUACCAAGCCGACGAUCUGUAGCUGGUCUGAGAGGACGACCAGCCACACUGGGACUGAGACACGGCCCAGACUCCUACGGGAGGCAGCAGUGGGGAAUUUUGGACAAUGGGCGCAAGCCUGAUCCAGCCAUGCAGCGUGCAGGAUGAAGGCCUUCGGGUUGUAAACUGCUUUUGUACGGAACGAAAAGACUCUGGUUAAUACCUGGGGUCCAUGACGGUACCGUAAGAAUAAGCACCGGCUAACUACGUGCCAGCAGCCGCAGUAAAAC
rnacentral:rRNA from 1 species